rnacentral:rRNA from 1 species
CAGCCGCCGCGGGAAUACGUAGGUGGCAAGCGUUGUCCGGAAUUAUUGGGCGUAAAGGGCUCGCAGGCGGUUUCUUAAGUCUGAUGUGAAAGCCCCCGGCUCAACCGGGGAGGGUCAUUGGAAACUGGGAAACUUGAGUGCAGAAGAGGAGAGUGGAAUUCCACGUGUAGCGGUGAAAUGCGUAGAGAUGUGGAGGAACACCAGUGGCGAAGGCGACUCUCUGGUCUGUAACUGACGCUGAGGAGCGAAAGCGUGGGGAGCGAACAGGAUUAGAUACCCGUGUAGUCCCUGUCUCUUAUAC